ACUCUCAAGUAUAUUUUAGUCAAUUUGGGAAUAUAUAUACUGUUCGAAACUUUAAUAUAUCUAUCUAUCAUAUAUCUUCAUAUGCAAAGCAAUGUUCUUUGUCCCUCUUGCCGGUUACUUGCGAUUUUUUAUAGCACAAACGCCAUCGUGAGUGAUUGUAGCAAAUAUUUGAAAGACCUUAAGUCAAGGAUUCCCGCGAGUGAUGAGUUCGCACCCCAGAAAACUCGGCGAGAAUUCCACUUGUUGCGAGUGCUGGCGAACAACCGCCGGCUAACCACAGUGAGCACUCGCCCAGAGCGACCACCAGCGAUCAGCGAUGGUUCAGAUAAUCGCACCCAUAUCCCCCUUCCCCGCCAGAAUCCGUGCUAUGCAAAUGAACGCUCGCCCAUUGCGCAAGCAUCCCAGGCAGCGGCAAUUAACAGGCUGACACAUCAGCAACACAUCAGCAGCAGCGGCAGCAACACUAGCAGCAGCAGCAGCAACUGCAACAACAGGUGUACUGUGUACACUGCACGGUGUACACACCCCAUGCUAAAAAGAAUUUCAAUUUACAAGCCUCGAUUUAUUGGCUAUUCACCUUUGUGUGGCUGCAGCAGCAGCGGCAGCAGCAGCCGCCGCAGCAAAGCAGCAACACCAACAGCUACGGCCAUGUGGCCCACUUUCCAUAGUCAACAAACAGCGGCAAUAGCAGCAACCAACACACAUACAGAUACAAGCAGCAACAAAAACAUGUUUUGACAUACUAAAUAAGCCGCUGCUAGGCUGACUAGCUUUUGGCCAAGUCUAGAUGGCGUUCUUUAUCAUUAGGUUCUGUUAGCUGUUUCUGCGAUUCUCCCUGCCUCGGCAUAUUCGCUUUACUGCUGUUGCGGCACAGCAGCAGCAGCACCACCACCGUUCUUCUGCUCGGCCCCUCAUAUUUUUACCGUAGCACGAACCUUAGCGGUAAAAACGUCAACUACAAACUAUACAGUUACCUGAAUGAAGGCUCAAACGGACUGAGAGCGAAACUCAAGCUGGCUAGAACAGAAUGAACGUUUUUACACUGGAAAAAAGGGCUGAAGAAACUAAGCUAAAACUAACUAAAAUAAUCUUUAUAAGAACACUUUGUGCAAAUAUUUUAAAUUUGUCGUAUCUUCAACACAAGUAGCAUUAUGCUUUGUUUUUAGGACAUUUUAUUAUCGAAGAAUACAUUAUUUUUUUUUUAGUGUAAGCAGCCAAACAGCGAACGGGCUUAGGGCGCGGGGCGGCUAAGCUGAAAAAUUGAUUUGGCAGCGCCCCGGGCCAGCGAGUUGAGUCUGCUCCCUCGACUCGGUUCACUUGAUGACUACAAAUGAGUGUCAGCCACUGACACGACUUCUCAUGCAGAAGCCCUACAGUUUUGGCCAAGAUUGAUCUAUAUUUUAUAGUUUCUGUUGAUAUCUUGGCGCUGGGGGCCGCCGUAUCCACUUGCAUGGCUCAUUAGCGGGCUGGGGCGGUGGCCAAAAUGUCGGAUAUUCUGGUCCCAUGAUUGAUGAUCGAGGCGAUGAAUCGUUACCUAAUUGUUGUACCCGAUAGAACAGAGAUGGCGUUCAAGGAACAGAUCAAUCGAUUUGUUUCCGAGAUUAACUGCUCUCACAAUUCCAGAAGCUGAAUGAUCGAUCUGCGAAUGUGACGAACAGUCUUUUAUAGUUUUAUUUUGACUAGAGAUGAAACGGGAUUUGUAUCGGCUUGGAAAUAAUAUUCUUAUAUGUCUAAAAUUCUAAAUGAUUUCUACUUGUUCGCCUAAAUUUUUGGAGUUCUUAGAAACUAUUUCUAAUCUCACAUAAUACAUUCAUAUUACUAGAAAAGUGACAUGUUAUUACCAACAUUUCUUAUAUGUUUUACCACAAAUUAAUAUUUGAAAUAUCUUUAUAAUAUUAUUGUACAUUUAAAGGGAAUUUUAUAGUUAUCGAUUUGUAAAGUACCCAUCACGUGAAAUUUUCCAAAUGAUUCAAAUGGUUUGAAAAACCCGUUCAGAGCCCCCUAACACAAGCGGAUUUGACAAUGAUUAGCCCACAUAAUGGUAGUUGGCAAAAAAAAAAAAUGCAAAGCUAAAACAUAAAGGUUUUCUUCAUCCGAACCUUUCUGCAGAUGAACCGACCCUGAACGUGGUCGAUGGACUUUGGCAGUUCGGCGCGUUGUCGCCGUCGUCGGUGAUGUUGCAACUGGCGGAUUACGAGAUAUAUAGCUGCGCACUAUCACUUUUGCGAUGGGGCAUAUAUUGGCGGUGUUUGUUGCUGUAAUUUCCCAUAUGAAUCGGAGCCAGGUUCAUUAUAAUUUGGUUGGACAACGCUUUGCAUUUCAUGCAUGAAUCUGCGGCUUAUUGACCGACCUGGUCGUCUGGACCUGGAUCUGUGGCUAUUAGCCAGGUCAGCGCCGCAUGAGAUUUCGUCUCCAAUCGAGCGUGGCGAAGUUUCAUUAUCAUAUUUUCGAUUUUGCCAAACUUCAUCGAUAUUGCCCGGCGAUUUCGUAACCAACUCAUCUCUUACUCGUCUAUGCGAAAUUCCAAUUAUGCGCGCACACAUGUAUCUUUGUAUCUGCGAGAUACAAAGCUAAUGGCUUUAGUAUUGGACGUCAACGAAAAUACAUAAAUUAUCGUAAACGAAAUAUUAAUUUAUAACUUGAGCGAAGUUUGUUUCUUUUUUGUUUUCAACAUUUACAUGGAAAUUUACUUUUUUAUUUUGAUAUUGUGGUUCGCUUUUCAUUUUGGCAAACUUCGAAAGCAAGUUGCCAAAUGACUUAAACUAAUUUUAACAUUUUUAAUUGGCCAGCACAAACUCCGUGUGCAGUUCACCUUGACUGUUCGGUGAUUUUUUGGAUUUCUAAAUUUGUUUGUGCCACACGUAAUGGCUUGAAUAUUUAUAAAAUUAAUAAAAAUAAAUCCAUAAAAAAUUCAUCACUCUGGGACUUAACCCAGUUUUUUUGUGUUCAUUGUCUAAGAACUGAGAUCCCGCGUGCAAUGGUUUAUAGUAUUGAAAGCGGGCUUGCAGGUAACCGUCAAGGGCUAUGUUAUGAACCGCAAGUUUUAUUAUAAAACUGUGAAUUUUUAAUACAAGUUAGUCCGUUAUUAUCAAAGUAAAGAGAUUUAUAUACUUGAGUGAAGGAAACCUAUGGUGAAUGCACCAUACAACAUUACAAAAUAUAAUUAAUAUAGAAAUAUUCUCUUCAGUCUGCUAGCAAUUCAGCUGUAAAAUAUUAAUAUGAGUACAAUGUAAAUGAAUUCGACUAUAAGAUACUCUUUAGUCACUGCCCUGAUGGAAAAACUUGUGACCUUAUAGCGCCCCAUUGUUAGAAAUUAUCCUAUUUAUAUCACCACAUAAUUUUACACAGGUUUCACUUAACAUGAAUUUAAAACCUCAAAGCGUAUAAGCCUACUUAAUCAUAGUUAAUAAAAUAAUUGUAUCAGCGCAGCUUAAGAGUCCCAAGCCUUUUCAAUCAUUAAAAGCUUGUCGGCAGGACUCAAGCGGUAUAAUUUAGGGCCAAUUGCCACUUCCGCCCCCGAAAAAGGAUUGGAAACAAUUUGGCCAGUCGGCGGUGCAAAAGUAAGAAGUGCAAUUAAAUUGCUCGCAACUGCAGUGUACACAUUUUGGCCUAAAAAGCAAUUGACCUGCUAAUCGAAGGAAGCGCCAAAAGCUCCCUCUCUUUUCCUGCCACCCUCUCUCUUAGUCAAAGAAAGCCCGGGGUGUAAAAAGAGAGCUAGAGCACAGAUAACAGCUGAUUAUGACUCUUUUCUUCGCCGAGCGGUUGCCAUAGCGAAUGAACGGCACAAAGCGGACGAGGCAAAAGUGGGUGUGAUGGCGGCAGCGGGGCGGGGGCUUGGGGCAGCGAACUGAAGAAGUCAUCGGCACAGAGACACAUAUACCCACUUCUCUCUCUUGCGCUCUCUCGCUGUCUCCCUCUCUUUUGCUUUUGGGGAGCCCGAGCUCUGCUGCCGCAUUGCGGCGCUGCUGCUGCGCCGCCGGCGUCGCUGCCGCGGCACGACGACAACGAACAGUCGAUAACAUUUUGCGGCACUCUUCAGCUACACCUCGUAUUGAGCGUUUCGCGGCGGCGGGUUACGAUGCGUGGCGCGUUGUAUCUUUAUUAUUAAUUAUUUGUUGUUGUUGUUUAUACUCUGUACCGUUUUCAUUUCCCAUCGCUCGUGUGUGUGCGCCGUGCGUGUGCGUGUGUGUGUGCGUGUGCCUAUGCGUUUUGCCCCCCAAUUCCCCCAAAACGCCUCACCACCCCCACUCAGCCGGGAAAAAGCCCCCAAAAAGCAAAUUUACUCAAAAGGCAAAACUACGAAGCGCGAGUGUGUGCCAGUGUGUUGAAAAAAUAAUAGUAAAAUAUGCUGAAUUAAGGCCUUGCAACAUGCGGCGGCAGAUGAAGUUUGUUCGGUUUCAGAUCAAAACAAAAUCAUAGGAUACGCCUAUAUAUAUCGCUAUAUACAGUACCAGUCAAUCAAUCAAUAUCGUGUGCAUUCAAAUUCCACAUCGUGCCUACAACUGCAACAGCAAUUGCGCGCCCUCUCUCCGCGAGUAAAAAACGGAAACGGAAGUGCCAGUGACGUAAUACUCCCGAAAAAACCCAGGAGAAUCCCCCCACAGCCUCCCUACGACAUUGUGCAACAAAAACAAAGCCAAUCUCCGUGUAUGUACAUCAUUCCCGUGCAAUAUGCUGAAUGCCAUGAUUUGGCCAUGGCUGACAGUGCGUAGCAAAAGUAUUUACAUAACUGGCCAAACCAUUUUGUACAUCAAAGUGUUCAAGCUGAGGGUUUGAAUAACACAUACACUGAAAACAAACAGAUGAACGUUUCCACGGCAGCGACAGUUCGAAUCGAUG